GUUUCUGGGUCUGGGUUACCUCACUCAAUAUGAUGUUUUCUAGAUCCAUCCAUUUGCUUGAAAAUUUCAAGAUGUUGUUAUUUUUUCUGCUGUGUAGUACUCCAUUGUGUAAAUGUACAUUUUUCUUAUCCAUUCUUCCGUCAGGGGACAUUUAGGUUGUUUCCAGGUUGUGCUGUGACAAACAAUGCUGCCAUGACCCAUGUCACCUUCUAACCCAUGAUCUGAAACCCCACCGAGAAAUGGUCUGUAUUGAGAGGUGGAGCUGACUCUGCAGUAACUAUCACCGACUGUCAUUGGAUUGGCCACGUUCUGGAGAAAGAAAGGCCACACCUGCCUCCAUCUCCUUUGGGGAUCAAAUAGAGAAUCCAUGUCAACCUUGAGCAGAAAAAAAAAAUUCUAGAGACUCAUGUGGCAACAAUGACCAAGAAGGCUUCCCAAAUGUGACUGAAGGUACAAACAAAUCUGGGCCUCUGACCCUCUUUUCUGCUGGAAGAAUUAGUGACCUAUACCUUCGGAUGGAAGAACAGGACAGGUACUGUCAUUUCUACACAAUUCAUGCAUUGUUCGGGGACCUUAUUGUUGAGUGCUUUUCAUAUGCUGUGUCCCCAGGAAGAUGGCUAUCUCAUCAUAAGGUGACAUAUUACAGGGCACCGUUGCCUGUGCGGUCAAUCAUUGACCGUAUCACCAUUAUGUUGCACAAGACUGUAUAUAAUCCACAUCCCCUGGAAGUAUUAGGAUGACUCUCCUGCACCUGCUGUGCACAACUGUGGUCGACGGGGUUCUCUCCUGCUUUGAUAACUGGCAAGUUCUAGCAGAGAGGAUUUAGGGUUCCUCCUCCCAAACAUGAGUUCCUUAAACAAGGGGCACAGCUCAGACCCUGUUCAAGUGCUUGCCUGAAGGCACCGUGAAAAGACAGCACCCUGCUCGGCACCAGACUCCUUCUGGCUCCUAAUAAACCAGAGAGCUUGUAUUGACUGUGCAAAGGUUAAAAGCGUACAAACAAAUACAUGGUACAAAGAGUCACCUUUGCUCCUAAAAUUGAUAUAUUACUUCUUAAUCUGAUCAUGUAGAACAUGGCUCUUAAGCCAACACAGGACAUGAUAAAACCUGAUACACAGAACAAUGUACUUUGUAAAAUAGAUGAUUGCAAAACACUUUGAAUGUGUACAGCAUUAUAUGGGUGCUUAAUGAUCACAGCAAUUAUUUUACAACUUAAUUGUGGGAAAAUUAAAGGAAUAAAGUAGCUUAACAGGUUCAAGAAUUUAUCAGACUCUGGAGCACGAGAAAGAUAAACUGGAGAGUUUGUAGUUUAACAUUGCCUCCUGCCACUGUUAGACCCACAGUUAGACUUCUUCGUAGUGUUAAAGCUGGAGACUUGGGGCUGCAUACUCGCUAGGCAAGCAUUCUACCAACUGAAAUGUAUCUACAGCAUGGUGGUGCCUUUUGUGUUGAGGAUUUCUAAAACUGUAGUCAUUGGAUAACCGUGCUGGUCCUGGGCACUCUGUGAAGUGGACUGAAGACACCACCACCUUGUCUUUAGAGACAGUCUCUCAUUAGCUCGCAUCUCACUGUGGCCCGUGAGCCCCAGGUUUCUGGUUGCUUCUGCUCCCCCAGCCGUGGGAUCCUAAGAAGGGGCCACCAAGACUGGCUUCCUAUGUGCACACUGGAGACUGAACUCAGGUCCUUAUACUUCUAUGCCCACCUCCAUCUGAGACAAUUAUCUUUGACGUCUGGAGCUGGAGUCCAUCUUUGCUCAAGAGGACUAGCCCAUCCUGGAGGAAUUUUAAGUGUUCUGCUGGAUACGACUUGUACCGACACAUGUUUAUUUCCACAGCGCACCUGUUUCUCCGGCGGUGGGACCUCUCCGCUCAAGCCAGCCUCAAGCACAGCCUAAGCACAGCCCCACGCCUCCUCCUUCAAAAGAGCAAAAAAUAGCCGGCAUGUACUAACAGCUUAUCCUAGAGCCCCAAACUAUCCCAAGCGUUUUUAUGUACAUCAUCUCAUCUCGUCCCCACAGCAGCUUGGUAAAAUAGCCAGAAGAGAAGCUUGAGGCUCGGAGAGACAAAGCCACUUGCUCGACGUCACACUGUGAUGAAGCAGAGCAAGAAGGAAGCCUAGCAAUCUAAGUCCGGGGUCUGAGUUCCUGCCUAAAGACGGCGGCGGUUAUUUGUGUGGUUUGAAGGAGUUGAGGGCAUUUGGAUGAUAUCAGGUCUUUAUAACGGCCAAGGCCUUGAUCAAUUCUCUAUUACUGUCUUCUCUGCAGCUGUGAGGGGGCACACCAUGCGAGGUUGUCUUCAACACCAACUACACAUUGGCAUUUCCAUAAGGGGAUGUGAUAGAACAUAAUGUGCUAUGGACCCUAAGUCUAUGACAUCACCUGUAUGACGUGGUUACCCGCACACAUCCAUUCAUGUCUACGCAUCAUUCAAAUGUAUAUGUUCAUGUACAUGUAUAUACAUAUGAAAUGUAUAUAUCCA